AGUUCCAGGUCCUCUUCAACGACUUAAG
rnacentral:sRNA from 1 species